rnacentral:rRNA from 1 species
UGGCGGCGUGCUUAACACAUGCAAGUCGAACGGUGAAGGGAAGCUUGCUUCCCGGAUCAGUGGCGAACGGUGAGUAACACGUGGCAAUCUGCCCCAGACUUUGGGAUAACUACUCGAAAGAGUAGCUAAUACCGAAUAUUCAGCCUUGCAGGCAUCUGCGAGGCUGGAAAGUUUCUCGGUCUGGGAUGAGCCCGCGGCCUAUCAGCUAGUUGGUGAGGUAAUGGCUCACCAAGGCGACGACGGGUAGCCGGCCUGAGAGGGCGACCGGCCACACUGGGACUGAGACACGGCCCAGACUCCUACGGGAGGCAGCAGUGGGGAAUAUUGCGCAAUGGGCGAAAGCCUGACGCAGCAACGCCGCGUGCGGGAUGAAGGCCUUCGGGUUGUAAACCGCUUUCAGCAGGGAAGAAGCGAAAGUGACGGUACCUGCAGAAGAAGCACCGGCUAACUACGUG